GAGAUGUGCUCAGGGAAAGGGGCCUGGAGAAACGGCUCCUCUGUUUUCAACACACGCGGCAGGAACCUUGGCGUGUUGUGACAAGGGACACAAAACCCAUAGCCUUUCUGUGAACAAAUACUCGACACGU
ensembl:snoRNA